AGCUCCAUGGGGAACGAGUUGGACUGCCGCAGCCCGCAACUUCUCACACCCUCCAACUGACAGCAGGCUCAGGGGAAAGAUGGCGGCUCGAGUCCUUCAGAGAGCUGGAACAGGCCUGAAACUAAGGAAACACGGGCUGCAGGGGCAUGGACAAGUCUCUGUGGUAGUAAGGAGCCUCUCAGCUUUCCGGGAAGACAGCUGGUUCAAAUCUCUCUUUGUCCGAAAGGUUGACCCCCGAAAAGAUGCUCACUCUCACCUCCUCGCCAAGAAGGAAGACAAUAAUCUCUACAAAAUACAGUUUCACAAUGUCAAGCCUGAGUGCCUCGAUGAUUAUAAUGAACUCUGUGAGGACGUCUUGCCUUCCAUUCACGCUGACCCUGAAUACCCCUGUGAGCUUGUGGGUACCUGGAACACGUGGUACGGAGAACAGGAUCAGGCAGUUCACCUGUGGAGAUAUCGGGGAGGAUACCCAGCUCUCACUGAAGUCAUGAACAAACUCAGGAGUAAUAAGAAGUUUCUGGACUACAGGAACGAGAGGGGGAAGAUGCUGCUUUCUCGCAGGAACCAGCUGCUGCUGGAGUUCAGUUUCUGGGGUGAACCCGGCCCUCGUGAAGGACCCAACAUCUACGAGCUCCGAUCAUACCAGCUAAGGCCUGGGACGAUGAUCGAGUGGGGAAAUUACUGGGCACGUGCGAUUGAGAUCCGUCAGCAGAACCAGGAGGCAGUGGGCGGCUUUUUCUCACAGAUUGGAAGUCUGUACACCGUUCACCAUUUAUGGGGUAUGCAGUGUUUCCAGGUCAAGUGAGCUUACAAAGAUCUCCAGUCCAGAGAAAACAUCAGAAAUGCAGCGUGGGCGCGUGAAGGCUGGGACGAGGUUGUUUAUUAUACUGUCCCUCUCAUUCAGCACAUGGAAUCCAGAGUAAUGAUCCCCAUGAAGACUUCACCCUUGAAGUAACCCCAAACAACCAGCAGGGGGAGCUGCUCAGUAACCACUGCACCUCAUCACACUGAUCUGUAGAGAGUGUAACCAGCUGGAGUGCGCACUGCCUGGGAUAUCUGCAUCACGGCGACAUGUUGAAGUUGUUUUUCUUUCAUUUGUUAGUUUCUUACUUCUGUUUUCUGUGUGGGCUUAAAACGUCUUAUUUCAGCAGGUUGUAGCAACCACUGUGUUACUGAUCCAUGAACACAUCUAAUGUAGACAAAUCUAACUCUACAUGCUCGUUCUUUUGGCUGUCUAUCAUUUUAAAGGUUGGAUUUAAAAACUGGUAUUUUUUUAUCUUUAUGAUAUAGAACUGUCAACAGUGUUUGUUGAGAUACAAGGAAAAGAUGUGAGUUUAAAGGUUAACAUUUAUAGUGCUGAUCACAUGGUCCAAACAUGUCUCACUGUCUUUUCAUAAAGUGUUACAAAAGAAAAUCUAACACGACACAAAGCCCUUCUUGCACUAGCACUUAUAACAGGUUUUAAAGCAGCAUCUGUGUCCAGUAUCUUGUAGCGAACAGUCUCCUGAGCAGUUCAUCAAUGUGAGCUUUAUGAAUGUUAAAUGUAAAGGGGUGUUGGUCAGUUUUCAAAGAGGAGGAAGUUGUUUACAAAUCAGUGUUGUCAACUUAGUCAAAAGUACACCAUUUAUACACUCCUCCAGAAAAAAGUUACUGAAUGUUUACAUGGUUUUAAUCCAGUCCACUGAUUCUGCUGAGUAAUAUGUGUCAGAAUCAGCUGUGUGGAUGAAAGUAGUCUUAAUGACAUUAUCAUGAGGACGCACAAAAAGCAAGAAUUGACCGAGAACUGUCUUUCUAUCCCAUUUUGUUUCUCCUUUGUUAAACUGACCACGCCUCCAGAUUUGUCUCUGUCACACUUCAGUCUGUCCCCGGUGUGGGUUUGGGGUAACGUGUAAAAGGAAAUAUUAGAAGCUACUUUUAAUUUCAGCACAAUGAAUCAGUAGAAUGCUGUACACAGACUUGUUCUGACAUCCCUGUAUCGAGCAAAUCAUGCCAGCCGAUGAUUGUGUGCGUUAACUGAGAUUAAUGGGUUUUUAAUGGUCAGAUUGUAGAUAUUACAAGUACGCUUACUGACCCAGCCUUGGAGGUGGCGGUCAGUCCUGUAUCUGUAAAUGAAGUGUGGUAUCCUAACCUGCAUUAAUCAACACAUUAGCAGGAGAUGAUUAAUAUCACAAUGUCGUAAAUGCAAAUUGCAGUGCUUUAAUACAUUAGUUGUACAUAUUGAAUUAAACUUCUGAUGCAAAUGGUUAAA